AGCGAACGCUGGCGGCAGGCCUAACACAUGCAAGUCGAACGAAGUCUUCGGACUUAGUGGCGGACGGGUGAGUAACACGUGGGAACGUGCCUUUAGGUUCGGAAUAACUCAGGGAAACUUGUGCUAAUACCGAAUGUGCCCUUCGGGGGAAAGAUUUAUCGCCUUUAGAGCGGCCCGCGUCUGAUUAGCUAGUUGGUGAGGUAAAGGCUCACCAAGGCGACGACCAGUAGCUGGUCUGAGAGGAUGAUCAGCCACAUUGGGACUGAGACACGGCCCAAACGCCUACGGGAGGCAGCAGUGGGGAAUCUUGCGCAAUGGGCGAAAGCCUGACGCAGCCAUGCCGCGUGAAUGAUGAAGGUCUUAUGAUUGUAAAAUUCUUUCACCGGGGACGAUAAUGACGGUACCCGGAGAAGAAGCCCCGGCUAACUUCGUGCCAGCCGCCGCCGUAAGAC
rnacentral:rRNA from 1 species